rnacentral:lncRNA from 1 species
AUGGAUCCAGGCUUGAUCAUAUUCCGGGAGAUUCAUGUAUUGAUUAUGCUUAAAUGUAUAAUUUGGAUAAUCACACAUGGAAAUCCAGAAGCGAAUGCUGUUCACCAGAGAAACAAGAGCUUUGCUGUUGCACUUUUGGUGGGAGCAUACCAUGUACUUUUCUGUCCUUUGAUAUCUUUCACUUAUGUAAUUUUGGAGACUUUCUGGAACAGAAAGUCGACAUCAACCUCAUUUCCAGUGCUCCGUGGUUUUUCAGGAGGCGCUCUUCUUCAGCGGGUGCAGCCAGGCCCCUUGGUUGAGCAUGGGCUGGAGGGCUGCCCAGACCCACACAAUAGCCUCGGCCCCAUGAGGCUGCCUUGGGCCGCAUCUCGGCCACCUGAUACUCCGCUUCCGCCAGCCUGGAGAACCAAGGCCUCUUCAGCCCUGCACUAA